rnacentral:rRNA from 1 species
UCAGGUUGAUCCUGCCGGACCUGACUGCUAUCUCAUUGUACUAAGCCAUGCGAGUCGUUGUAGCAAUACAAGGCGGACUGCUCAGUAACACGUAGUUAACUUAACCUAUGGAUGGGAAUAACCUCGGGAAACUGAGAAUAAUACCCAAUGGACCACAGUGCCUGGAAUGGCCUGUGGUUGAAAUGAUUUAUCGCCGUAGGAUAGGACUGCGGCCUAUCAGCUUGUUGGUGAGGUAAUGGCCCACCAAGGCUAUAACAGGUACUUGCUCUGAGAGGAGGGGCCCGGAGAUGGGUACUGAGACACGGACCCAGGCCCUAUGGGGCGCAGCAGGCGAGAAAACUUUGCAAUGUGCGAAAGCACGACAAGGUUAAUCCGAGUGUCUCCUGCUAAAGGAGUCUUUUGUCAGUUGUAGAAUCACUGGUGAAUAAGGGGUGGGCAAGUUCUGGUGUCAGCCGCCGCGGUAAAACCAGCACCUCGAGUGGCCAGGAGGUUUAUCGGGCCUAAAGCAUCCGUAGCCGGUUGCAUAAGUUUUCGGUUAAAUCUAUGCGCUUAACGUAUAGGCCGCCGAAAUACUGUGCAGCUAGGGAGU